CACGCAGGCGGUCUGUUAAGUCAGAUGUGAAAUCCCCGGGCUCAACCUGGGAACUGCAUUUGAAACUGGCAGGCUUGAGUCUCGUAGAGGGGGGUAGAAUUCCAGGUGUAGCGGUGAAAUGCGUAGAGAUCUGGAGGAAUACCGGUGGCGAAGGCGGCCCCCUGGACGAAGACUGACGCUCAGGUGCGAAAGCGUGGGGAGCAAACAGGAUUAGAUACCCUGGUAGUCCACGCCGUAAACGAUGUCGACUUGGAGGUUGUGCCCUUGAGGCGUGGCUUCCGGAGCUAACGCGUUAAGUCGACCGCCUGGGGAGUACGGCCGCAAGGUUAAAAC
rnacentral:rRNA from 1 species